CAGGGCAGGAUCCGGAAGGCUUCGUGAUCUGCCCUACCUCUGAAGCUGCUGGAGAUGGCCACUUCACAACUGGAACCUGCCCCACGCCUCUGGAGGCCCCCCUCCUCCUGCAUGCUCGGCAAGGCAGGGAAGUGUGAGGCAACCACUUCCCACACAGCCAGGACCCCCCCCCCUCCUUGGUAUUGAUGCCGUUGGCCAAAGAGUCAACCAAGACCUUACAGAGGAACCAUCACAGCCCGGGCCCCAACUGACUAGACCAGACCAGACCAGACCAGAGCUGACCAGACCAGUGCUGAAGACUUGGGACACGGGACCAGGGAGAAGCAGCAGGGAUGGAGCUUAUCAAAUGAACCGUGUAGCAGAGCCGGUGAGAAGCCAGUCAUCCCUGAUAUACAGUCAAGAGGCAAAUCCAAGUGGAGACGACGACAAAGUUAAACAAACAGCUCCAUCCCCUGACCACCUCAAUGUUUUUUUUUUUUUUAACACUAUGAAUAAAUGUCAUCGAAAUGAUUGCAUUCAAGCUGUUAAAUGGUAGUGUGUUCUUAUUUAUUUUAAUCUACUCAUAAAUUGAC